rnacentral:rRNA from 1 species
AGUGAACGCUGGCGGCGGGCUUAACACAUGCAAGUCGAACGAGAACGGAGUAUAGCUUGCUAUAAUUGUCAGCUAAGUGGCGCACGGGUGAGUCAUGUAUAGGUACUAUGCCUUUUACUAAGGAAUAACAAAGCGAAACGUUUGCUAAUACCUUAUACUCCUUAUUAAACUCAGUUAAUAAGGGAAAGAUUUAUUGGUAAGCGAUUAGCCUGUAUUGUAUCAGUUAGUUGGUGGGGUAAUGGCUUACCAGGACUAUGACACAUAACUGGUUUGAGAGGAUGAUCAGUCACACUGGAACUGAGACACGGUCCAGACUCCUACGGGAGGCAGCAGUGGGGAAUAUUGCACAAUGGACGGUAGUCUGCUGCAGCAACGCCGCGUGGAGGCUGACACAUUUCGGUGCGUAAACUCCUUUUAUAUGACGAGAUGAUGACGGUAUUAUAUGCAUAAGCACCGGCUAACUCCGUGCCAGCAGCCGCAGUAACAC